CAAAACAUCACUGAGCCUCCUCCAGGUUUCAUGAUAGGACCAGAAUCAGCAGUAAGUGUUGGCACUAAUGGCAGCAGCAGGACGCCGGAUCGGGGAAUGCAGCCGCAAGACCAAAACAUCAUAAAUCAUCUCGACGCAAGCCAAGAUGGAGCCAGAUUACUGCUAAAUAGCGCAGCUGUGAGGCUAUUUUCACAAUGAGGGCAAAUCUUAUGACCUCUGGAGGUUUGGAGUAAAAGGACAGAGCAGGCAUAUCAGGCUGCUACUGUACACUGCAGGCGGGGCAGCAGGCCUCUCUCCGGUCUGGCAGAGGGCAGAAGUCCAU